rnacentral:rRNA from 1 species
CCUACGGGAGGCAGCAGUAGGGAAUCUUCCGCAAUGGACGAAAGUCUGACGGAGCAACGCCGCGUGAGUGAUGAAGGUUUUCGGAUCGUAAAACUCUGUUGUUAGGGAAGAACAAGUAUCGGAGUAACUGCCGGUACCUUGACGGUACCUAACCAGAAAGCCACGGCUAACUACGUGCCAGCAGCCGCGGUAAUACGUAGGUGGCAAGCGUUGUCCGGAAUUAUUGGGCGUAAAGCGCGCGCAGGUGGUCCCUUAAGUCUGAUGUGAAAGCCCCCGGCUCAACCGGGGAGGGUCAUUGGAAACUGGGAGACUUGAGUGCAGGAGAGAAGAGUGGAAUUCCACGUGUAGCGGUGAAAUGCGUAGAGAUGUGGAGGAACACCAGUGGCGAAGGCGACUCUUUGGCCUGUAACUGACACUGAGGCGCGAAAGCGUGGGGAGCAAACAGGAUUAGAUACCCUGGUAGUCCACGCCGUAAACGAUGAGUGCUAAGUGUUAGAGGGUUUCCGCCCUUUAGUGCUGCAGCAAACGCAUUAAGCACUCCGCCUGGGGAGUACGGCCGCAAGGCUGAAACUCAAAUGAAUUGACGGGG